rnacentral:rRNA from 1 species
AGUGAACGCUGGCGGUAGGCCUAACACAUGCAAGUCGAACGGCAGCACAGUAAGAGCUUGCUCUUACGGGUGGCGAGUGGCGGACGGGUGAGGAAUACAUCGGAAUCUACUUUUUCGUGGGGGAUAACGUAGGGAAACUUCCGCUAAUACCGCAUACGACCUACGGGUGAAAGCAGGGGAUCUUCGGACCUUGCGCGAUUGAAUGAGCCGAUGUCGGAUUAGCUAGUUGGCGGGGUAAAGGCCCACCAAGGCGACGAUCCGUAGCUGGUCUGAGAGGAUGAUCGGCCACACUGGAACUGAGACACGGUCCAGACUCCUACGGGAGGCAGCAGAGGGGAAUAUUGGACAAGGGGCGCAAGCCUGAUCCAGCCAUACCGCGUGGGUGAAGAAGGCCUUCGGGUUUUAAAGCCCUUUUGUUGGGAAAGAAAAGCAGCAGGUUAAUACCCCGCUGUUCUGACGGUACCCAAAGAAUAAGCACCGGCUAACUUCGUG